rnacentral:rRNA from 1 species
UACGAGUACCCCGAGCGUUAUCCGGAAUUACUGGGCGUAAAGGGUGCGUAGGAGGCAAUGUUAGUCUCGCUUUAAAGAUCUGGGCUUAACCCAGGGAGUGGGCGAGAAACGGCAUAGCUUAGAGAGUGUGAGAGGUUUGCGGAACUCAUGGUGUAGGGGUGAAAUCCGUUGAUAUCAUGGGGAACACCAAAGGCGAAGGCAGCAAACUGGCACAUUUCUGACUCUGAAGCACGAAAGCGUGGGGAUCAAAAAGG